GCCAGACUCCUACGGGAGGCAGCAGUGGGGAAUAUUGCACAAUGGGGGAAACCCUGAUGCAGCAACGCCGCGUGAGUGAAGAAGUAUUUCGGUAUGUAAAGCUCUAUCAGCAGGGAAGAAGAUGACGGUACCUGAGUAAGAAGCCCCGGCUAACUACGUGCCAGCAGCCGCGGUAAUACGUAGGGGGCAAGCGUUAUCCGGAUUUACUGGGUGUAAAGGGAGCGUAGACGGCCAGACAAGUCUGAAGUGAAAAUCCAGCGCUUAACGUUGGAAGUGCUUUGGAAACUGCCGGGCUGGAGUGCAGGAGGGGCAGGCGGAAUUCCUAGUGUAGCGGUGAAAUGCGUAGAUAUUAGGAGGAACACCAGUGGCGAAGGCGGCCUGCUGGACUGCAACUGACGUUGAGGCUCGAAGGCGUGGGGAGCAAACAGGAUUAGAUACCCUGGUAUG
rnacentral:rRNA from 1 species